AUGAAAUUAAAAUUAUUAAAUAUAAUUUUAUCAAUAAUAAAUAAACUUAAUAAUAAUAAUAAUAUUAUUAUUAAUAAUCUAUUAGAUUCAUUAAUAAAUAAGAAAUUAUUAUUAAAGAAUAUAUUAUUAGAUAUAAAUAAUAAAAAAAUAAAUAAUAUAAAAAGAAUAUUAAAUAAUAAUAAUAUAAAUAUUAAUAAUAAAUUACAACAUUUAAAUAAUAUAAAUAAUUGAAAUCUACAAAUUUAUAAUUAUAAUAAAAAUAUAGAAAUUAUAAAUACUAUAAAUGAUAAAUUAAUUAAUAAAUUAUUAUAUAAAAUAAUAACUUUAAAAUUAAAUAAUAUAAAUAUUAAUAAAAUUAUUAUAAGUAAACUUAUUAAUCAACAUAGUUUAAAUAAAUUAAAUAUUAAAUUUUAUUAUUAUAAUAAUGAUAUUAAUAAUAAUAAUAAUAAUAAUAAUAAUAAUUAUUAUAUAAAUAUAAUAAAUAAAUUAAUAAAUAUUAUAAAUAAUAAUAUAAAUAAUAAUUUAUGUAAUAUUUUAAGUUAUUAUUAUAAUAAAAAAGUAACUAUUGAACCUAUUAAAUUAUCAUAUAUUUAUUUAAAUAGUGAUAUUUUUAGUAAAUAUAUUAGUUUAAAUGAUAUAGAUAAAUAUAAUAAUGGUAUCUUAACUAAUUAUCAACGUAUAUUAAAUAAUAUUAUGCCUAAAUUAAAUGAUCAUAAUAUUUCUAUAAAUUAUAUUAAUAAUAUUAAUAAUAUUAAUAAUAAUAAAUAUAAUAAUAUAAUUAAUUUAUUAAAUAAUAAUAAUAAUAAUAAUAAUAAUAUUAAUAAUAAUAAUAAUUAUAAUAAUAAUAAUAAUAAUUAUAUUGGUAAUAUUAAUAAUAUUUAUAAUAAUAUAACUAUUGAUAAUAUUCCUAUAGAUAUUUUAAUAUAUAAAUAUUUAGUUGGUUGAUCUAUUAAAUUUAAAGGUAGAUUAAGUAAUAAUAAUGGUAGAACUAGUACACUUAAUUUAUUAAAUGGUACUUUUAAUAAUAAAAAAUAUUUAUGAAGUAAUAUUAAUAAUAAUUAUAAAUUAAAUUAUAUCCCUUCUAAUCAUAAUUUAUAUAAUAAUUCUAAUAUUAAUAAAAAUGGUAAAUAUAAUAUUAAAGUUAAAUUAAACUUUAUUUAA
rnacentral:rRNA from 1 species